UUUCUGUGACGAUAACUUUGUCCAGUUCUGCUACUGAAAUAUAAGUGAUGCAGUUUAAGACUCUGAGGAAG
ensembl:snoRNA SNORD38A small nucleolar RNA, C/D box 38A